CCCACCAAAGCCCCCAGUGUCUUUCCUCUCACCCCCUAUCAUGUCUCCUGGUAUAUUUCUCCUUUUUACAGGAGAAAGCCCUUAUGAUUGCAGUUCCAACCUCAUCAUUUGGUACCAAACCCCAGUCUCAUCAGCUGGAAGGAUGAUUUGAAAGGGAAAAAGAGUAAAGAUAUCUUAAGGAAGGAAGAACAACAUCAAAUUGAUACAGAGAAAGCAGGCUACAGCAUGAACCUUGAGGGAAGGCAAGUCUAGCUUUUGCUUCUACUCAAAAGGACCAUCCCUUGAAUCAACAAAGAAAAGAAAGAAGAGAGGAAAAAGGGCAGUUCAACAAGACUAAUCAAAAACAUCAACUGAACCUUACAGUAUAAGCGUUUAUAUUAAAGACUAUAUAGAGUUUC